rnacentral:lncRNA from 1 species
AAAAAAAAUAAAAAAAAAAAAAAAAAAAAAAAAGUUUUUUUUUUUUUGUUGGGAAUUCUCCACCCUGAGCAAGGCUGCCUCUGCCCUGAGAGUUAGGUUGUAGAACUUGUCGAACUCCUCAGGAUCAUGCAAAGCAAGAGCUAACUGCAAAUCUUCUUUCAAGCCACCUCUGAACUGAUAAAUCUUGCUCUUCUGAUCAGGGAUAUCCUGCAGCGCGUAACGGGCUAGCUCGUGGAACUCAACGUUGUACUUGUACACGGAAUUGCCACCCUACUUCAAACGCCUGAACUUCUCACGAAUCUCCUCCACAAAGCUGGAAGGAAUGUAGUG